rnacentral:rRNA from 1 species
AUUGAACGCUGGCGGCAGGCCUAACACAUGCAAGUCGAACGGUAACAGGGAUCAGCUUGCUGAUUCGCUGACGAGUGGCGGACGGGUGAGUAAUGUCUGGGAAACUGCCUGAUGGAGGGGGAUAACUACUGGAAACGGUAGCUAAUACCGCAUAACGUCGCAAGACCAAAGAGGGGGACCUUCGGGCCUCUUGCCAUCGGAUGUGCCCAGAUGGGAUUAGCUAGUAGGUGGGGUAACGGCUCACCUAGGCGACGAUCCCUAGCUGGUCUGAGAGGAUGACCAGCCACACUGGAACUGAGACACGGUCCUGACUCCUACGGGAGGCAGCAGUGGGGAAUAUUGCACAAUGGGCGCAAGCCUGAUGCAGCCAUGCCGCGUGUAUGAAGAAGGCCUUCGGGUUGUAAAGUACUUUCAGCGGGGAGGAAGGGAGUAAAGUUAAUACCUUUGCUCAUUGACGUUACCCGCAGAAGAAGCACCGGCUAACUCCGUG